rnacentral:lncRNA from 1 species
GUGCGGGACUCUGUGUUGGGGGCUGAGGGUGCGGGUCUCUGUGUUGGGGGGCUGAGGGUGUGGGACUCUGUGUUGGGGGCUGAGGGUGCGGGACUCUGCGUUGGGGGCUGAGGGUGCGGGACUCUGUGUUGGGGGGCUGGAGGGCGUGGGACUCUCCGUGUUGGGGCUGAGGGUGCGGGACUCUCCGUGUUGGGGUGGUCUGAUGGUUGCAGGACUCUCCGUCUUGGGGGCAUGAGGGU